GCUCUCACCGGGGUCGAGCCGCGGCGAGGGAACGGAUCGGAGACGCUGCGCCUGCUCAGAAGGUAGCGCAGCGGGGAAAGGCGGGAGAGCGUUAACUUCUGAGCCUGCGCGGUGGGAGUUGCUCAAGCAGGUGGUAGCGACUUGGCUUCCGGGCAGCGGGUAAAGGUGAGUCUGGGGCAUGGGUUCAGUGGGCAAGUCUAGGGCAGCAGAGUUGACUACGCCUCGGCGUAUAGAAUGGCCCUGGCCUGGGACAGCUAAGGACGACAAGAGGAGGCCGAAGCCUAAAACGCUUUCACCUGCUUCUUCCCCUGCCUAGAUCCCCCCAAUAGUAAUACUAAAGAGCGCCAUAGUUUACAAAGAUUUCUCCCUCUCACAACACCUUUUAAUCACUGAUCCGUAUUCCCUUAGCACUCAAAUCUCUUCUGUUUGGAUUGCCCUCAUUAACAAUCUGACCAGCUCGUACAAUGCAUCCCUCUUUGCAAUUUGCCACGUAUGCUUACGUGUUCCCCUUUUUUCUACUGGCAAGGAAAGAAUGUAAGCUUUUAUUCACAGGAGAUGUCUGAGACUUUUGCCGGUAAAAUGAUCUGGCUACAAGGUCUAAGAGGGAAAAGCAGUUUGCUCGAGGAAAGGUAUUCGUGCAUUAAGGACAGUCCUGUGAGUGAGAUAUUGGUGGACGGCUUCAAGCUCUAGCCUGUGGCCUACAGCUGGCCUAAAUAAGACUGGGAAGGAACUGUGAAGACGGUUUCAAAUUCCUAAAGCCCUGAAAUUCUCCCCCUAAGUUUAGGAAGAGCUUUUGUUCUUGGUGUGUAACACUGAUAAAUGAAUUGGUACCUAGUGAUUAAUCUGCACUUUUAUUAAGAUAUGACCUACUUUACCUUUUUUGAGACAGGAUCUUGCUCUGUCGCCCAAUAGCCCAGGCUGGAGUGCAGUGGCAGAGUUGCAGCUGGCUGCAGCCUCCACCUCCCUGGCUCAAGUGAUCUUCCAGCCUCAGCCUCCCCAGUAGCUGAGACUAUACAGGUGCAGGCCACCACUCUUAAUUUUUUUUGUUUGUUUUUAAGAGACAGGUCUCCCUACGUAGCCCAAGCUGUUUUCGAAGUCCUAGGUUCCUCCCACCUUGGACUCCCAAAGUGCUGGGAUUACAGGCUUGACCCACUGCGCCCAGCCUGCAUCUUUACAUUCGAAAUAAAAUUCAGUCAAGUCAAAGCCGGUCUUGGAGGAAAAUGUGGCUUUGAUGACAGCAGUAGGGAUUUUCCUUCAGUGCCUACUUACCAGAGGAUAAUAAUAACAGCAAGUUUCUUAAACAUAAAAACAUCAGAAAUGAAAAAGAACUUUCCAUAACACUAUAAAUAUUGCAGUAUUUCAAGAUACUGAACCAGAGCCCUAAGGAAAGGCUGGAGACCCAGAAUUUUAUAAUGGCUUUGGGACAUGAAUUUUAUUUUAACCAGAGGACAAAAUUAAUCUGCAAAAGCUGUCUUGGAGAAAUUUCAGGAAAUAAAAGAUCAAAUGUAUCUGCUGUCCUCCCUUCCCUCUCCAGGAGAAUAAAAGGCAAAUGCAAACUAUCACAGGGAGAUUUUCACCUUUACCUAAAUUAUUUAUUAUAUACUUUAUAUUUCUGGUUAAUAGAUUGGGAGAGAGCACUCCAGAUAAAGAACUUCCUUUAUAAAUGCCACAUUUAUUUCAGUACUGGAGGUUUGGUCUUGUGUUGCCACAAAGAUUUGGAAUGGCAUCUAUGUUAUAAAUUUAGAUGACAAAAGAGACUAAUAAAAGACUUCUAGAUGAAACACAAGCUUCUAAUAUUCUGGUCCAGGAAAUAAGAUAGAAACUAAAAAACAAUAAAUAACUUUUAUGAAUUAACUGAAGGACUUAAAAUACUUGUUCCAUUCUAAUCCCAAGUGUCUGCCAAGGAACUGAAAUUUAAAAUGAUAAAAGACAUGAUACAGUCAUGUUACAGGGAAUUCAAUGAAGUAAAAAUGGCAGACAUUGAUGAAUGGUAUGGUUUAAAGAUUUGUGUAGAGGUAGUGAUGAGGAGGCCUGCUGGGAGCUGGAAAAGUUCUAUACCUUGACACAGUUAUGCUUACAUGGAUAUACACACACAGUAGUCACUAAGCCAUGAUUUGUACUUAUGAUUUGCACACUUUGGUGGUUGUAAAUUGUACAGCAAUCUAAAAACAAAUGAGGUCAGUGUGCCUCACUACAGAGCUUCAAAAGUGGUAGAUAGCACAUCUCUUUUUUCUUUUAAGCCAUCUAAUACAGAGUUGCUUGGAAUAAAUCCUAAUAGAUACAGUGUUUCUAGAAACAAGUAAAUGAAUAAACCUUAGCUGUUACCCCGUAGGAGCCAACAGAGGUCAAUCUGUUCUCAAGCUUUUACAAAGUUACAAGAACAAGUAAUCAGUGCAUAUUUUGUUGAAACUCCUACUGCAAUACUGAAAACUUCAAAUGGAGAGCAGCUCCUUUUUGGUAAUUCACAACAGACUUAGUUUUCAAAUUACCAAGAAUAUAAGGAAUUAGAUUAGAAGCCUAAUUCAAUUUAGAAUUAUGAGACAUUAUUUGUAACCCACAAGUAUUAUUUUUCCCAUGAUACUGAACAAUUCACCUGGCAUGAACUUAAAAGAAGAAAAUGCUUAUUGCAGCCUUCUUGCUUUAAGAGCGAAAAAAACAAUUUUGCUAGCUGUGGAGGGACUAGAAUACAAUGUCACUUUAAGAUUUACACUCUCAAAAGUUUUGACCUAUCAGAUUGAGAGCCAGAGAGAGAGACAGACAGAAGGAGAAGGAUAAAUCAAAUGUGGUAAAAUGUUAACCUUUGGGGGAUCUGGGUAGAGGGGAUCUGGGAAUUAUUUGUACUAUUGCAACUUUUCUGUAAGUCUGAAAUUGUGUUGUCAAAAGUCAAAAGAAAAAAUUUAUAAAUACUUUAUCAUCCAUUUGCUUUAUAAUUAGGUACAGAGUAUGAUGACAGAGAGAGCCUACUGUAUGCCAGAUACUUAACAGAAGGAAAGUAGUUUAUAUGUAAACUCUGGGAAAAGUGGAGCCAAAUGAUUACACUGUGUGUACCCUUUAGCACUGUUUGGGGUGGGGACAUGGGGGGUCAGGGUGCAGAGAGGGACUGUUCUGGUCUCCUUGGAAGGUAUGUGCCUAUAGUAAAAAGCAUGAGUAAGAUAUCACAUCUCCUAACUCCGUAACAACCAAGCAAACUUAUAAUAGCAUUUUAACUUAUAUCACCUUUUUUAUAGGAGCGGAUAUAUAUUCCAGCAGCAUGAGUAUUUUAGCCCUCUUUGCAAUUGCAGUCUUCAUUCAUUAUCAUCAAUAAACUGGCCUCUGGUUG
rnacentral:lncRNA from 1 species